GUAAACAAAAGAGAUGUAGAAAGACUGUUGUUCUGUAUUUUCCUCCUGUGGUUAAUGCUAUUGUGUGUUACUUGCCACAGGUUGCAGGUUUGCAAAAACAGACCCUACUCAAGAAGUUUUGAGGGUGUCCCCAGUGACAUCCACACCGAAGCUGAAGUAACGUGGCUCCAAGAUUUCCUCAGGAUCUUCAGGAAUGCCCAAGCAGGAUGCUUCCCAGCUAAUGAUGUACCUUCAAUCAGAAGUUUACCAUUUGCCAAAGAGAAAGAUGUAAUUGAGUAUCUGCCAAGACAAAACAACAGCUAGGUAACUUGCAUAGAGAAAAUGGAUUGUCUCCAGCCAUUGCUGGUUCUUUCAACAUUUCAGCUAUCCUGUGCUUCCCCUUGAGCCCACUGAGGGUCCAUCUCACAAAGCACACAUCUGUUAAAUGGCCCAAAUAUUUUGUACACGGAAGUGCACAAGAUCUUCAAACAGUAUAAAGAGAAAGAAACAGUACUACUUGAUAAAAGAGAGAGACACAGUGUUGCUGCAUGAUGAAAGCGUAUCAUCAACUGAACAGGAAAUUCAGCUUACCUUUUCUCAAGGACACAGGUCACUUACUUCAGUUCCUAAAAUGCCACUUUGCACCAGGGAUCUUUGACACUCUUUGACUGCAACCACUAGUAAAGCAUCUGAGGGCCAGGGAAAAACCUGUAAUGGGCCAAAACUUCUGAAUUAAACCAGGUCUGAUUUUGACUACAGCUGCAUUUUGACUUCUGACUGCAGAGGAACAUGUGAGGUACACUCAAUUAUUUGUCAUGAAAAUACUAGCCAGGGAAUUUAGCCCUUUUUAUUUUUUUUCAUUUGUGCAUCACUCCCAAAUGCCAGUCUCUGUGAGUGUAUCUAUUACUUGUAAGCAUUUACUAAUCAUUUGUGAAAAAAUGUUAGCAUUUGGUUUGUUUCCAUCUGUCAUUCCUAGUGGCGGUCUGCGCCUGGCCACGUCAUUGCACAGAGAUGUGUCGCUGACUUCUUCCCCUUCCUGACAGCUCAAACUCUUCAGAAUAGAACAUAUUUAUGAAUGGCUUUAAAAUAAGCUGUCAGGAAGGUUUUGUUCUGGUUGAAAGGAUCAACACCCUGCUAAAGCAGAACUGUGCUCCCAUAAGUACAAGAAAAUAUGUUUAGGGUCACAUACUGCCUGCAACCCCUUCUGUAGUCAUUCAGGGGUGUACUUACGCUUACCUGAGCCAGUAGCAUGGCAUGACAGUGAGGGGUCCAGCACAGGCUGCAAACUCAUCCAGGAACCCAUGUGGAUGUGUAGGCCCAGGCAGCAUGAGAAACAGGUUUGGGUUGAACUUCACCUUUCCCCCACUCACCAAAAAAUACUGUGAAGUAGCUGGCACCAUGUGAUUUAAGAUUUUUAAGCAUCUCAGAAGAGAUUAAGAACAAAAAAUAAAGGAAAGAGCCCUUGGAAGGAUAAAGUAGGGAAUACAGUAACAGUUGGAGAUGGAAAAGCAACCACUGAGGUAAGCAAAAGCAUUAUUAGCCUCAAAGAAAGAACUGGAAGUAUUAUGAAAGGUGAUGCAAACAAAAAGCCUGCACUUUCAAAAAGACACUGAGCGUGCAUGACCCUUUGUCAAAGCUCCCAGGCCAUCUGGCCAAAAAUACUGGUGAAGUCCUGUAAAAUGGUAGUUGCAUACCUGUUUAGUAUUUCAAAAUGUUGUAUAUCCCACAAACCUUUUCUGUGAGAAGACAGACUAUCUUUAUCCUAUUUUUCUGACUUCUCCAUUGCCCGCUACCCUGGUUUAUCACUUUGGCAACAAAUGAUUGCAGGGUUUAUGUGCAUUGCCUCAUUACAUGUAGCACUGCUGCACCCAGCUAGCAUCCAGCUGCGCUAGCAGAUUGAAAGCCAGUUUAGACAUGCCUUUCCCAGCUGUGGUUACAUCUUUGACUGCCUUGUGGAGCUAUAAAUUAAAUUGAAAUAUUUUUAGCUACAAACCCUAGGCACCAGAGGCAUGCUACCUUUAUUAGAAGUAGGAAAACGCAUUUGCUUCUUUCAGUAUGUGGUCUUUUUGCUCUCUUAUAAAAAUAGGAAGAAAAAAAUUUAACAGCACUUUUUUUUGCUUAUUUCCAUAAUUGUCAUGGGUCAAAAUACCUGAAUUAGUUUAAUUCAACAUAGUACUUCUGCUUCAAAUAGCACAGGACAUUAUGGACAGUAAAAACUGAUGUCUUUGAUGAUGCAUUAGCUUUUUGUGAAAUAAUCUUGGUAGAAAAGCAUUUUGAUGCUAUCAAAAAUCAGGCCUUUAUUGCUCAUUGGAAUUAAAAAAGAA